rnacentral:rRNA from 1 species
CAAGUCGAACGAGUGUAGCAAUACAUUCGUGGCGAACGGGUGCGUAACACGUGGAUAACCUUCCUUGAGGUGGGGAAUAACCCCGCGAAAGCGGGGCUAAUACCGCAUAACAAAGCGAUGGCACAUGCUGUUGCUUUCAAAGGAGCAAUUCGCCACAAGAGGGAUCCGCGGCCGAUUAGCUAGUUGGUGAGGUAACGGCUCACCAAGGCUAUGAUCGGUAGCCGGACUGAGAGGUUGGCCGGCCACACUGGAACUGAGACACGGUCCAGACUCCUACGGGAGGCAGCAGUGGGGAAUCUUGCACAAUGGGCGAAAGCCUGAUGCAGCAACGCCGCGUGGGGGAUGAAGCUUCUCGGAGUGUAAACCCCUUUCGACCCGGACGAAUGCCCGCAAGGGUUUGACGGUACGGGUAUAAGAAGCCCCGGCUAACUACGUGCCAGCAGCCGCGGUAAGACGUAGGGGGCCAGCGUUGCUCGGAAUUACUGGGCGUAAAGGGUCCGUAGGCGGUGCGGUAAGUCGGGAGUGAAAUCUCUGGGCUUAACUCAGAGGCUGCUUCCGAAACUACCGUGCUAGAGUGCGAGAGAGGCAAGUGGAAUUGCGGGUGUAGCGGUGAAAUGCGUAGAUAUCCGCAGGGACAUCCGAGGCGAAAGCGGCUUGCUGGAUCGCAACUGACGCUGAGGGACGAAAGCUAGGGGAGCAAACAGGAUUAGAUACCCUGGUAGUCCUAGCCCUAAACCAUCAGGACUUGGGGUUUGCCCUGUACGGGGCAAGUCCCGGAGCUAACGCGUUAAGUCCUGCGCCUGGGGAGUACGGUCGCAAGACUGAAACUCAAAGGAAUUGACGGGGGGCCCGCACAAGCGGUGGGAACAUGU